rnacentral:lncRNA from 1 species
GAGACAAUGCUGGUGAGUCCAGUGUAGUGAUUCAGGAGAGACCUGAGAGAUGGUGUGAAGAUAAGAGCUUCCGCUUGGAAGAAGGCACAGCUAACCCGGCUUUCUAGUGAGCUGUGGCUUUGGUGGUCUAUCUCAAAGUGUGCUCUCCACAGUCUCCCUUUCACAAGCUAACAAAGCUCUGUGGUGACAGAAAUGAUCACAAAGUCAAUUCAAGGUUUCCCCGAAGAAGUUUGCAAUUUGAGAAUGGAGCGUCUGAUCCUGAAAGCCAUGAUCCCAUGGGCUUAAGAGAAAUGAAACAGUUCCAAAGAUUCUGGACUCAUCUGUGUGGCCUUGAAACCAUCUAUCAUGAAACCAUGACAACAGAUAACUGAAGCUGGCAUGGCAAGAAGCUAAUGGUCAGGGCUGCUCUCAAGACAGUUUGGACCCCCUUGGCUAAGAGCCACAGUAGAACCCUCGGAGGAAAACACCGGAUGAGAAGCAUCCCGAGGAAAGAGGGGUUUAUUCUGUCUGUCAGUGUGAGGGGACACUGUCCUUCAUGGUGGGGAAGGUGUGAUGGAGGGAGUGGUUCCAGCUGUGGUGGCAGGAGUAUAAGGCAUCUGGCCAUAUGUCACUUGCAGCGACAGAACAGAAAGAUGUGCAUGUUGAUCCCCAUCUUGCUUCCUCCUUUGUCCUUUUAUUCAGCUCAUCUCAGAACCCCAUCCCAUGGCACUGUGGUGUCCGAAUUCAGAGUGGUUCUUCCAUCCUCAGUUAAACCUCUCUGGAAACAUCCUCAUGGACAUGCCCUGCAGUGUGUCUCCUGGGUGACUCCAAAUCCAUGCAGUCUGACAAUGGAGAUUAGCAAUCUCAGCAAUAGCUGGGCAGUGGUGGCUGAUGCCUUUAAUCCCAGCACUCAGGAGGCAGAAUAAGGUGGAUCUCUGUGAGUUUGAGGCCAGCCUGGUUUAUAGAGUGAGUGCCAGGAUAGGCUCCAAAGCUACAGAGAAACCCUGUCUCGAAAGACCAAAGGAAAAAAAAAAACUUAGAUAUUAAAACAACCACAGAAAUAAUAUAACCAGGACUCUGCUUUAGCAGGGUUUUACUGGGUAGGAUGAAGAGGGAAGAAUGAGAGAAGAAGUGGGGCCGCUGCUGUGACUGACAAUUAUUCCCACAACCAACUUUUAUUGAGG